AUGCCUGUUUUCUGGCUCCAUAAUCCAUUUACUGAAGGAAGUGAAGGUGACCAGAGAGCGUGGAUUUUUUCCCUGCACGCCAUUUCCCUCCUGGAUUCACAGCUUAACCUCUUCAGUGAGCUUGGGCUUUCACUAAAGGCAAGACAAGAGGUAAUCAUUAAGCUUCAGGCCUGGUAUUAUAAACCACUCCUGAGAUCAGCAAGCACUAUGAACUGGCAACCAUCAGCAGAAGGUGGGGGAAGGAGGGAAAACUGCAGCAAAAACAAAGUACCCUCUAAUGUCUCAACAAAUUAUAGCUCACAGAAGCUGAACCCAAGACAAUGCUUUUCCUGGUAGUCUCCCUAUAGAAACCACAGGUAUUCUUUGUGCCUCCAAACACCUUUAAACUGCAUUCAAAAUUAGGGUUAUGAGUCUGGAAAUCUUUCUUUGCUAAUUUGUUGUACAUGAAUGCCUGCAGAAGCCUUUGAAUGGUAAAUGCCGUGGGAGGGGCAGUUUCCAUGGUAACUUUUCAGUGCACCUUUUUUCUUGCACUUCAAUUAGAUCUUCAUUGCUGAGCGGUUGUGAAUGAGAAGGUAACAGCUCAGUCUCAUCUGGAGGGCUGGAGGAGAUAUGAGAUCUGCAGCCUUCUAGAUGCAGCUAUAUUCUCAAUCCACUGAGUUGUAGUAUGCUUGUUUUGUUCCAUCUCUUCAUGGUACCCCAGCACCGCAAUGCAACACACAUGCAAAGGACCAAUUUCCUUAAUAUACCAAGCUUACCAGUUAAUAUGAACAAUAUCAAAGCACAAUGGAAAAAAUGAGCAAAGGGCAUAGAUAGGCAGCUUACAGAAAAAGAAAAUUAAUGGCUUACAUUGUAUGAAAAUGUGGUUAAUCUCAUUCACAAUGACAGAAAUACAUAUUUAAGUAAGAUUACAUUUUUCACCUACCAGACUGGAAAAGAUCUAAAAGUUUGAUAAUGUACUGUGUUUAGAGAAUGUGGAAAACCCAUCAUUUUAUAUACUCUUCUGUGGGAGGGUAAAUUGGUUUAAUCUCUUUGGAGAGUGAUUUUGCAGUUUCUCUUCUAGAAAUUCAUCCUACAAGUGUAAUUACAUUUGACUUAAAAAUACAAGUAAAAGAAUAUUGUUGAAGCAAAUGACUGGGACAGAUUAAAUGAGUUGAUGCAUCCAGACAGUUACACACACUGGACAAUGAGAGAAAAAAUAUAGUUGGCUUUUCCUCAAAUUCCAGAGUUGGAUGUUCAGCCUAUUUGCGAAACACUGUUAAAGGAUAAUUCUCAAAAAAAAAAAAAAGAAAGGAAAACCAUGACUCUUAUACAGACAUAAAAUUAACAAGUGCUAAAGAUUUAAUUUUGCUCAAAAUGAAGGCACUCUUGUCUGAACUUAAGUUCAUGUGUCUAGCACAUAUGAGGUCAAACAAACCAAAAAGUUGGUUUUUGGAGCAGAGAAAGGUUUAUUGCAAAGGCCAAGCAAGGUAAACGGGCUGCUUGCGCUCAAAAGGCCUGAACUUCCCAAUGACUUCCAGGCAAGAGGUUUAAAAGACACUGUUAGGGGAGAGAGUGGUGAGAUGCCUGAUUAGAUUGUGGACCUUCUUUUGACUGGUUGAUGGCAAGGUAACAGGAUGAUGUUUCAGGAAUCUCAGCAUUCUGGUUUCCAGCCAGUCUGAGUUCUAGUGCUUGUGAUCAGCAUGUAGUCCCCUUCCUCACCUGGGUGAGGGUCUUAGUUUCUGCAGAAAUGCUCAAAGAUAUGGAUCAGAUUGUUAUCUAUAUUUCUUUCAGAAGGAACCAGGAGUCCUGUGACUCUCUUUUCCUAAUCAUUAACUGCUUGAGCCAGUUUUUUGGAACUUGGGAAAGGCCUGGAGACUGAAGCAUUUUUCUUGCAAACAAGAAACAGGGACAGGGAAAGACUUUGUAUAGAGGAGGGCUAGGCAGAUGUCAUAACUGGUUCAAAGGAGAAGUCAAGAAGCAAAGAUUCAUAUGCAGUAAAGGAAGGUUGAAAUGGACGUGCAAAUGAGGGGUAAACUGGUUUUCAACAGGUGUGUGUGUAGGGGGUUUGUCCCUGCACCCGGCAGAAUCGACUUGCGUGUCUAUAGGUAGGAGUUAUUUUGCCUUAUUAUCAGUUAUCUGUAAUUUACAGAGUGGUAAAAUAGCUCUCAUAGAAACACAGUCAGUAAUGCUGCAAGGUUGACCACAGUGCACAGUUUUCCACUGAAGCCAUUUUCUGUACUAGAUUUAAGUGAUAAAUGCAAGUCUAACAGAGUGUAAAAUCCUGUGGUCCCAAUGUUAUGUGUGUAUGUGUGUGCUUAGUUGUUCAGUCAUGUCCGACUCUUUGUAACCCAUGGACUGUAGCCUGCCAGGUGCCUUUGUCCGUGGGGAUUCUCCAGGCAAGAAUACUGGAGUGGGUUGCCAUGCCCUCCCCCAGGGAAUCUUCCCAACCCAGGCAUCAAACCUAGGUCUUCCGCAUUGCAGGAGGAUUCUUUACCAUCUGAGCCACCAGGGAAGCCCAUGACUGACCGUGUCUGUAUAUGUACAUACAUAUACGUGACAUUCAAAUAUAUGUACCUGAGUAUGGCAUUGGUGAUAUAGUGGUGAGCAUAGCUACCUUCCAAGUAUAUGCGAAGUGAAAGUGAAGUCACUCAGUCGUGUCUGACUCUUUGCGACCCCAUGGACUGUAGCCUACUGUAGCCUACCAGGCUCCUCUGUCCAUGGGAUUUUCCAGGCAAUAGUACUGGAGUGGAUUGCCAUUUCCUUCUUCAGGGGAUCUUCCUGACCCAGGGAUUGAACUUGGGUCUCCCACAUUGUAGACAGAUGCUUUACUGUGUGAGCCACCAGGGAAGUCCAAGUAUGUGUACAUGUAUACAUACGAGUGUUCACAUAUACAUUGACUAUUCCUUGAUCGAGACAGAGGAGACUAAUAAUUGUGUCUGACGCUCUAGAGAGGGACUGAAAGUUGGGAAUCUGAGAUGAAAGAGAAGUCUAGUUUUUAUUGUAUAUACCUUUUUAUACUGCUUGAGUUUUUUUCCUUUACUUUUGCCAUGAACAUUUUUUCCCAAGGAAAAGAAACCUUUCCUAAGGUUCAUAAACCUUACUGAGACAACUAAUAAAACAAUGAAUUAUAUAAAUGAAGCA
ensembl:lncRNA